rnacentral:rRNA from 1 species
AUACGGAGGAUGCAAGCGUUAUCCGGAUUUAUUGGGUUUAAAGGGUGCGUAGGCGGUUUGCUAAGCGGGAGGUGAAAUGCCGGCGCUCAACGUCGGAAGUGCCUCCCGAACUGGUGGACUGGAAUGACUCUGCCGUGGGAGGAAUGUGUAGUGUAGCGGUGAAAUGCUUAGAGAUUACACAGAACACCGAUUGCGAAGGCAUCUCACGAAGGGUUGAUUGACGCUGAGGCACGAAAGCGUGGGGAUCAAACAGGAUGAGAUACCCUGGUAGUCCACGCAGUAAACGAUGAUGGCUAACCGCUGGUUUUUUCGGAUCAGUGGCCAAGCGAAAGCGAUAAGCCAUCCCCCUUGGGAGUACGGCCGCAAGGUUGAAACUCAAAGGAAUUGGCGGGG